CUACUUGACUGGCAGGGAGGCAUGAUGGUCAUGAAGGUGAUUUCCUAGGUAGGGCCUCAUUCCUUGUACUUCUGGUGACCUGACCACUGAAAAUUCUGUGAUUUAGGGAACUACACUGUAAAAUUUGUAAUGUGAGAUACUGUAUAUGUAUGUUUUCUUA